CAUCUUUACUGUGAUUGGAUGUAGAACUUCCUGAUUCAAAUUCAACCAAUAACUUGACUAAUUUCACAUACGAAAUUUCACUCCCAAGAAAGUGAAUGCGGGAGACAGGAGAAGCUCUGGCUGUCCGGCUCUGGUCUUGUCUUGGUCUUGACUUGGUCUUGAUAC